GCAAACAUUACAUCUAUCGGUGACAACGUAACGUACAUAGGGUAGUAUUGUUAAUGAAAUUCGAACACAAGAGUCAUAGUGCUUUACACUAUAUUAUGCACCUCUUCAUCUUUGAGCCUAUUCUUGAGCAUAAUUACUAUUGAUCAUCUUGUAAUUUCAUAAACAUUUUAAUUAACUGCCAAAUGAAUAUUUUGCUAUGAAGAUGAUCUAUUCGAAUGUUCCUUAGUUCACAUAUAAUCUAUUCCAGUAUGUUUAGAGUACUACACCCAUCACUCUAUACAUCUUUUAAUAGUUAUAUUGAUUUUGCGGGAAGCAAAGCGUCGUAUGAAGAUCACAUGCUUAACCAUCGUAGAGUGUGUCCAUAAAGCUUAUGAGUUGAACAUCGAAUGCUUCAAGCAAUUAGCAGGUACGCUUUUAGUUUGAUAUAUAUACUUUUUUUUAACUUUGGUUUAAGGAUGCUAUUGAAAUAUUCGACAAUUCUAUUUUCCUUCUCACAAGACUCUACCCUUAUCAAAUUUUGAAAUUUAGCGAUUUGCAGUCUGAGAUCGACUCCCUACACUUGUUUUAUAGACCUUUUUGCUCGUUUUCGAAACUACAGUAAUUGGGUUAAUACUAGAAAAGCAAUAGCUAAGAAGAAAUGGCCUCUUUUUUUUUUAGAACCGAAUCUGCGAACAAUUUAAAAAUGCUUAUAUAGUAAAUUCCUCGUUCCUCAUAUAAGGAAUUUUGUUAGUAAAGCACGACUUGAAAUUCCGUUAAAAAACACUCACUUUAAUUUCCAAUUAGACAAUAGGAAACAUUGGGCGUACAUGGUUGCUUGAAUUAAUUAAACUUAUUGCAGGUCUGAACCUUCGAACCAUUUGUGAAAAUGCCUCCAAUAAAAAUCGUUUCUUC